rnacentral:rRNA from 1 species
UGGGGAAUAUUGGACAAUGGAGGAAACUCUGAUCCAGCAAUUCUGUGUGUGUGAAGAAGGUUUUAGGACUGUAAAACACUUUUAGUAGGGAAGAAAAAAAUGACGGUACCUACAGAAGAAGCAACGGCUAAAUACGUGCCAGCAGCCGCGGUAAUACGAAGGGGGCUAGCGUUGUUCGGAUUUACUGGGCGUAAAGCGCACGUAGGCGGACUUUUAAGUCAGGGGUGAAAUCCCGGGGCUCAACCCCGGAACUGCCUUUGAUACUGGAAGUCUUGAGUAUGGUAGAGGUGAGUGGAAUUCCGAGUGUAGAGGUGAAAUUCGUAGAUAUUCGGAGGAACACCAGUGGCGAAGGCGGCUCACUGGACCAUUACUGACGCUGAGGUGCGAAAGCGUGGGGAGCAAACAGG